UACGGGGGGGAGCAAGCGUUGUUCGGAUUUACUGGGCGUAAAGGGCGCGUAGGCGGCGUGACUAGUCACUUGUGAAAUCUCCGGGCUUAACUCGGAACGGUCAAGUGAUACUGUCGUGCUAGAGUACAGAAGGGGCAACUGGAAUUCUCGGUGUAGCGGUGAAAUGCGUAGAUAUCGAGAGGAACACCUGCGGCGAAGGCGGGUUGCUGGGCUGAUACUGACGCUGAUGCGCGAAAGCGUGGGGAGCGAACAGG
rnacentral:rRNA from 1 species